GAGUUUGAUCCUGGCUCAGGAUGAACGCUAGCGAUAGGCUUAACACAUGCAAGUCGAGGGGCAGCAUGAUCUUAGCUUGCUAAGGUCGAUGGCGACCGGCGCACGGGUGCGUAACGCGUAUGCAACUUGCCUUACAGAGGGGGAUAACCCGUUGAAAGACGGACUAAAACCGCAUACACUUGUAUUAUUGCAUGAUAUUACAAGGAAAUAUUUAUAGCUGUAAGAUAGGCAUGCGUCCCAUUAGCUUGUUGGUGAGGUAACGGCUCACCAAGGCGACGAUGGGUAGGGGAACUGAGAGGUUUAUCCCCCACACUGGUACUGAGACACGGACCAGACUCCUACGGGAGGCAGCAGUGAGGAAUAUUGGUCAAUGGGCGAGAGCCUGAACCAGCCAAGUCGCGUGAAGGAAGACAGUCCUAAGGAUUGUAAACUUCUUUUAUACGGGAAUAACGGGCGAUACGAGUAUUGCAUUGAAUGUACCGUAAGAAUAAGCAUCGGCUAACUCCGUGCCAGCAGCCGCGGUAAUACGGAGGAUGCGAGCGUUAUCCGGAUUUAUUGGGUUUAAAGGGUGCGUAGGUUGUUCGGUAAGUCAGCGGUGAAACCUGAGCGCUCAACGUUCAGCCUGCCGUUGAAACUGCCGGGCUUGAGUUCAGUGGCGGCAGGCGGAAUUCGUGGUGUAGCGGUGAAAUGCAUAGAUAUCACGAGGAACUCCGAUUGCGAAGGCAGCUUGCCAUACUGCGACUGACACUGAAGCACGAAGGCGUGGGGUAUCAAACAGGAUUAGAUACCCUGGUAGUCCACGCAGUAAACGAUGAUUACUAGGGGUUUGCGAUAUACCGUCAAGCUUCCACAGCGAAAGCGUUAAGUAAUCCUCCUGGGGAGUACGCCGGCACCGGUGAAACU
rnacentral:rRNA from 1 species